rnacentral:misc_RNA from 1 species
UUGAACAGUCAAACCUUACAAGAGGUGGUAACUAUGGGUCAAUGAUGGAAGUGCAUGUGCUUCUCUUUCACUUUUCGCAACUUCCUAAUAGCUUUUGUGAAACUCUUGAGCAAUGGUCAUAUAUACUGUUUAUGGCCUAGUGGAAAAGCAAAUCAGUGCACCAGAUUAGAUUUCACUCUGUUCAUUCAAUGUUGUCAAAUUAACAG